rnacentral:rRNA from 1 species
GACGAACGCUGGCGGCGUGCUUAACACAUGCAAGUCGAACGGAAAGGCCUGCUUUCCCUUGUGGAUUGCGGGUACUCGAGUGGCGAACGGGUGAGUAACACGUGAGUGAUCUGCCCCCAACUUGGGUAUAAGCCUGGGAAACUGGGUCUAAUUCCCGAUAGGACUGCAGGGUGGUGCCUGUGGUGGAAAACGAUUUUCUAGUGGUUGGGGAUGAGCUCGCGGCCUAUCAGCUUGUUGGUGGGGUAAUGGCCUACCAAGGCGGCGACGGGUAGCCGGCCUGAGAGGGUGGACGGCAACAUUGGGACUGAGAUACGGCCCAGACUCCUACGGGAGGCAGCAGUGGGGAAUAUGGCACAAUGGGCGGAAGCCUGAUGCAGCGACGCCGCGUGGGGGAUGACGGCCUUCGGGUUGUAAACUCCUUUCGACCGCGAGGAAGCCACCUGGUUGGAAGGGUGGUGACGGUAGUGGUAGAAGAAGCACCGGCUAACUACGUG